AAGCACAUUUGUGUUCUCCGUUUCACAUCGAUCGGCGGAGGAGAUGACGUUCCAGUUCCAUAACGGGGGCGUUGUGAUUUCUUCGACUUUAAUCUCAUUGUCUUUAAUCCCACUAAAUCGAAUGCCCACUACGAUCUGUUCGGUUGAGUUGUUCAGUCGGCGAUUUCAUGUAUAAAUAGACGGCACGGAUGAACAAUUAAACCCGCUUGAGAUCAUAAGUCUGAUUCAGACGGCACAGAUGGAGAUCUUCAAGGGCCUCAGAGACACAAAGGGGAAGCAGUCAGUGUGUUCUUGAAGAAUAUAUUUUGAACAACUCUACUCCCUCUUUUCUUAUUGUUUUCCAUUAGCUACUAUGAUGAAAACCAUCAUCUGUCCGCUAACACAUUUGUCAACGUUUCUGUUUAUAUAUUUCAGACAUUAUCUAUUUUAAAGGUUCAAUUGAUCCAUAUGAUAUAUAUAUUGUACUACCAUAUGCAUACUGAAAACAGAUAUAAAGAAAGAGAAAUAUCAUGGUUAACUUGAAUAUUGACAGGUGUGUUACAUAAGAAGCACUAUAUAUACGUUAAUCAGUAGAAGUUUAGUUAUGUGUGUGAAUGAUUGUUUGUUCACUUUUUUCACAAAGGAGUGUGACAACGUUUAGCGUGAGUGUUAUCCAACUUGAAACUGCACUUUGUUUUAUCAUGUGUAUGUCAUACAUUUUUUGUGAUGCUGUUGGAGUAAAGGGAAGGAACAUUAUGAAAGCAUCUUCAACUGUCACUACUGAAAUUGUCGAUCACAGAUAAGUCUUUUUAAGGAGAAUACAAAAUCAAUUUUUGUAUUCAGUGAUUCUGAUAUGUUUUUGUAGGUAUGGUGCAAAGACAGCAGAGGCCACAAACAGAGAAACGCGGGGUUUGGAGCAGCAGGGCAUGCUCUUAGAACAGCGUGGACAGUUUUCAUGAUCAGACAAGCUCUCCCAAAGAGCCUGUAGUAAAGAGUGUGUUUAAUUGAUGUCUAAAACCGCAGUUAAAACGGCAGCCUAAUAAAAAAAAAGGGAAAGGAGCUUUUUUAAAUCAACCGAGAAAAAGAGUUAUAAGUGGAUGUUGUGUUGUUUGUACAUCAGUUUCAUUGCCUUGGUGCAAAAGCAAUACCCAUUUGAAAAAAUAGGUUUUGGUUAUUGU